rnacentral:tRNA from 1 species
GGGGCCAUAGCUCAGUUGGGAGAGCGCAACACUGGCAGUGUUGAGGUCGUCGGUUCGAUCCCGUCUGGCUCCA